rnacentral:piRNA from 1 species
UACAGAGUGAGAUCCAAGGGAUGGAGUGU